AAUUUAUAUAAUCCCAAGGAAUUUAAGUGAUAUAAAUUUUAUUAGGAUAACUUUGUCUUAACUGUUAAAAUGCAAUCAGCAAGCUUCCAGCAACCAUUUCUAUGCAUUCAGAUGAAGAAUUAGGAGCAUGGUAGGAAACCCUUGAUAAAAGAGGAUUGUAGCCUCCCUGGUAGGACCUUGGAAGCUGCCUGGAUUUAAGGCCAGUAACUACCGAGUAAAAUUGGUCUCCAGGUAAAAACAGUCUUGAGUUUGCCUUUGUUUUUUAAAGAGGUGACAAUAUUAGCUUUGUUUGGAAGAGUGAAGUAAACUGCCCGAUUGUAAAGCCAGGCUAAAUUUAGAGGAGUGAGCCUGACCAACACCAAGAAGCGUGUGGCCUGGUGCUCCACCACGCCCAGGUAAUGCUGCCUUCUCGGCCCUGUACUUUUGCGCAUGCGCAAUGGUGUCAACUUCGCCACUAGGAGGCGCCGGGCCCUCUUCAGGCCGGUCUUGGGGCGGUGCAUGUGGCUGUGACGUCACUGCACGCGCCACAUCUUGUUGCCCGGCAGCGAUGGCGGCUUCUUUGGAGUCCGCGGAGGACCCACUGCGGAACUUUGUUCGAGUUUUGGAAAAGCGAGAUGGCACGGUGUUACGACUGCAGCAGUAUGGCUCCGGCGGCGUGGGCUGCGUUGUUUGGGACGCUGCCAUUGUCCUUUCUAAGUACCUAGAAACCCCCGGGUUUUCCGGGGAUGGGGCCCACGCUCUGAGCCGGCGGUCCGUGCUGGAGCUGGGCUCCGGCACUGGGGCCGUAGGGCUCAUGGCUGCUACCCUCGGGGCUGAUGUUGUGGUCACAGAUCUUGAGGAAUUGCAGGACUUGCUGAAGAUGAAUAUUAAUAUGAACAAGCAUCUUGUCACUGGUUCUGUUCAAGCCAAGGUACUGAAAUGGGGGGAAGAAAUAGAAGACUUUCCUUCUCCUCCAGACUAUAUACUGAUGGCCGACUGCAUAUACUAUGAAGAGUCUUUGGAGCCGUUGUUGAAAACUCUAAAAGAUCUUAGUGGAUUUGAGACUUGUAUUAUAUGUUGUUAUGAGCAACGAACAAUGGGAAAAAAUCCAGAAAUCGAGAAAAAAUAUUUUGAGCUCCUCCAGCUAGACUUUGACUUUGAAAAAAUUCCUUUGGAGAAACAUGAUGAAGAAUAUCGAAGUGAGGAUAUUCAUAUUUUAUACAUCAGAAAGAAAAAAUCGAAAUCUCUAUCGUGAAAUCUUUAGUCACCUUACCCAAGCCUCUAACAACCUGGAGCAUGGGAAUGAAAUUGGAGAGGUGAGUACUAUCAGGCAGAGAGGUGUUAAAGAUGGGUCCUGCCAGCUGCUGUUGAUACAGGAGUUGGAGGCCAGAGGACUUGAGCAGCAACAUGGAGAAGUUCAAAGGCAGGUGCAGAAGAUGAGUGAGUUGUGAUGCCAUAGACUGGGGAUCAACCAGAAUACAACCAACUCCAAUCCCCCGGGACUGCCAGGGCUGGGGUCAGUUCCAGAGGCCAGGAAGUGCAAGCAAGAUCAAGGCACCAGCUUCGUUACCAGCUCUCUUCUCAUUGUAACGUCACAUGGCAGAAGAGCAGAGGAUCUCCUUGGGGUCUCUUAUAGGACACUGACCCCAUUUAGGAGAGCUUCGCCCUCAUGACAUACUCAUCUCUCAAAUGCCCACCUCCAAAUACUAUCACAAUGGGGGAUAGGUUUCAGCAUAAGAUUUUGGGGCUGGGUUGUGGGCGGGAAGCAGAGACAUGCAGCCCAUAACAGUAGUGUAGGUAAAGCUGAUUUUUUUCUUAUAAAAUUGUAUUUAACUUCUCCUUCUGUCCCUUGCAAUCCGAUAUGCCUUUUGAGUUUCUGAAUAUUAUUUGUAAAACUACAGAAAUUGCAAUUCUUAGACCAUUUCUCUGCUAUUGAUACCUUCUGUGAGGGAACUUUAAGAGGCUGAAUUAGUUGGUCAUGUUCUGAAAAUUAAAUCAACCUUGAAAGUACCUUUUAUAUAAUGCAUGAUUUUAUGUUUGAGGUGUUUGAAACUUCUAAUUAAUUUUAAUUAGUUUUCCAAACCAGUGUACCUUCCUCACUAGAGUAAUAAGUAGCUAUUACAUCAAAAGACUGAAGCUCUGGCUUUACCACAGUCCUGCAGGCUUAGGCCUUCUGUUUGACUUUUGGUCUUUUUCCUCAAGGAACAUCAGGAUUUGGAAGAGCUUUUGCUGCAUUGAUAGUAAACAUUGUAAAAGUAGAAUAGUCCAUUGUCAUACCAUAGAGAUCUCCAAGCUACUACAGAAAGAAGUUGUGGCGAUAAAAUUUUACUGAAAAUUCGUCAAGUAAUGAAAAAGCGAAGUUUUCACUUUAUAUAAUUUUGAGUAAGAAAGCAUUGGGUUAAAACUGUUACUUACUUGGGGUCAUUUAGGAUAUUGUCUUAGGUUCUUAAGUAUUGGUUGGAGUUUUGUGACAAUUUAGUGAGUCCAUCAAUUGAGAGAUAGAUUCUAUGGGGACCUGGGUCCCAUGCCUGACCAGGAGGAGCUCCUGUCAGUCUGGAGCAGGUCAAGUUCCCAGGUCCAGAGCGUAUCACCAAUGAGAAGCAGAAGCUGUUCACCAGUAAGCUGCUAGAUGUCAUGGACAGAGUAGUGAUCCUGGAGAUCAGUGGUCAUGCCAUUUAUGCCAUCAGGCUGUGCCAGUGUAAGGUGUACUGGUCUGGGCCAUGUGCCCUAUUGCUUGUGGCCCCCAACCUGACUGAGAGACAAAAGAAGGUCAAACUAUUUUGCCUGGAAAUGUUCCUUAGUGAUCUCAUUGCCCACCAGAAAGGACAGAUAGAGAAGCAGCCACCAUGUGAAAUCUACUUAUGAUUUGGGAAAGAAUGGCCAGAUGGGAAAGCCCUGGAAAGGAAGCUCAUCUUGGUUCAGGUCAUUCCAGUGGUAGCUUGGAUGAUCUACGAGGUGUUUUCUGGUGUUUUUACACAAUAACGUAACAAGAUAAUUUCUGUUUAUAAAAAGUAAUUUUCAAAUAAUGGACUUAAAAAUGUGUUAGAGCCAAUUAUCUCCAUGAUAAUGUUCUCAUGUGCAUUCUUAAAACCAUGUGUCAGAGCAUAGGCCUAACGACCAGAUUAUCUGGGCUUAAAUUCCAGUUCUGCCAUUUACUAUCUAUGUGACCUUGAGAAAGUUAUUUAAACUGUGUGCCUGUUUUCUCACAUGUCAGGUGAAGGUCAUAAUAGUGUCUACCUAGUAGUUUGCCAUGGGGAUUAAACCAGUUUAAUACAUGUAAUGCACUUAGGUACCAGGUGCAGAGUAAGUGUUCAAAAAAUGUGAUUAUAAUAGAGGUGUAGGGACUAGGAAAAUGUAUAUAAUGUAAGUCAAUUUUUAUCUAUAUUUCAGUGUAAAAUCUGGACAUUUUUUUGAGCGUGUAGGGCCCUUGUACCCAUCACUCCCCCUUCAUGAUAGCAAUGGCCCUUGGGGUAGGAGGAGGUUGAGAAUGCUGUUCCAUCUCCUUUAUUUGAACAAGUAAGCAGUUCUAGAAAGAGGAAGAAAAUGGGGUGAAAGAAAAACAUUUGUUUCCCAUUCAUUUUUUUGGUUUUAAAGUAAGUGUCAUGGGCAUUCGAAGGCCAAUAGGUACAGGAGACACAUUUCUAAGUAUAGGAGCCUGGCCUUGCUGGCUGGAGCUCCAGGAUUACCAUUCCACCUCCCCAGACGUUCAGCCAGUUCUUUCCUCCAUGGUUCUUAUCUCUGUAAAACUGAGACCAGUUAGGAGGCAGGUGAUGAACGUACAGCAGCAGGUCAUUUUUCGGAAGAGGGACUCAAUGCAUCUACAUAACUAUGUUCAAAGUUUGGAUGUAUUAACUCUAAAAGAGCAAGGCAGUGUAGCAGCUACCUUCCAAGGAAGCGAUCUUUGUCCACGUAAUGAACGUAUGUGAUGUGUUGCGGGAGCUCAGUGUAGCUAGUCCCUCCGGCUGCCUGGGGGAGCCUGUGCCGACAGACAAGAACAAGAGAGCCUUGAAUUGUAGCUGCUUCCUCAGCCAGUGAAAGAGGCAUGUGGGCUCACCUGCAUUUGUUAAGUUUUUAAGACCUUUUUUAUUUUCAACUGAUGGGAAAGAUUGUCAUGAACACUGAAUAGCUGGUUUUAGUUUUUAGAAACAUUCAUUCCUUAACCUAUAAUACAGUAAUUUAUCUUGGUGAAGCGUAAGUUGGCGCUUUUUAAUAUUUAUGAGGCUGAAAACUGUUAUUUCUCCCUCACAGAGCAAACUGAAGGCUUUUGGAAAAGAGCUAUGCUAGAUGUAGGUUUUACAGGGUUUAGUGUUUGAGUAGUUCGCAGGUCUCCUUCCUGUUACUAGCUUUCAUGAAGUAGUACUGGCAGUCUGUUAAACCCUUGAUGGAUCAGUGCUUUUAAAUGGUCCUGGGUAAUUUGUUUAAAGUUAACUUUUGUUCCAGUUUGUUAAUUUCCUGAAACCCAGGCAUGAACAGUGUGAGCUCCAGGUCCACGUGUUGGCUCACCAUUGCUUUGAUAAGUCAUUACCACAGUUAAGAGUGUACAAUACAAAAGUCCAUGUAUCCACCCCAACACCUGACCUUGUUCUUUUAGGAGUGUGUCCUGAAAACCCACUUGUGGGGCGCCUGAAUGACUCAGUUGCUUAAGCGCCUGACUCUUGAUUCCAGCUCAGGUCAUGAUCUGAGGGUUGUGGGAUCAAGCCCU